CUGGAGGUAUCAGAAGUGCGAAUGCUGACAUAAGUAACGAUAAAGCGGGUGAAAAGCCCGCUCGCCGGAAGACCAAGGGUUCCUGUCCAACGUUAAUCGGGGCAGGGUGAGUCGACCCCUAAGGCGAGGCCGAAAGGCGUAGUCGAUGGGAAACGGGUUAAUAUUCCCGUACUUGGUGUUACUGCGAAGGGGGGACGGAGAAGGCUAUGUUGGCCGGGCGACGGUUGUCCCGGUUUAAGCGUGUAGGUGUGUGUUCCAGGUAAAUCCGGUUCACUUUAACACUGAGGCGUGAUGACGAGGCACUACGGUGCUGAAGCAACAAAUGCCCUGCUUCCAGGAAAAGCCUCUAAGCAUCAGGUAACAUCAAAUCGUACCCCAAACCGACACAGGUGGUCAGGUAGAGAAUACCAAGGCGCUUGAGAGAACUCGGGUGAAGGAACUAGGCAAAAUGGUGCCGUAACUUCGGGAGAAGGCACGCUGACACGUAGGUGAAGUGAUUUACUCA
rnacentral:rRNA from 5 species